rnacentral:rRNA from 1 species
UACGUAGGGUGCAAGCGUUGUCCGGAAUUAUUGGGCGUAAAGAGCUCGUAGGCGGCUUGUCGCGUCGGCUGUGAAAACCUGGGGCUCAACCCCGGGCCUGCAGCCGAUACGGGCAAGCUAGAAUUCGGUAGGGGAGACUGGAAUUCCUGGUGUAGCGGUGAAAUGCGCAGAUAUCAGGAGGAACACCGGUGGCGAAGGCGGAUCUCUGGGCCUUACCUGACGCUGAGGCGCGAAAGCUAGGGGAGCGAACAGG